rnacentral:lncRNA from 1 species
CUGUCUGGGUUGUCCUGGCCAACAAACCUGAACCCCCGGCCGGGAUCAUCUGCCGCGGUGUAAUAGAAAUUGAGGGGCAUGGAUACAAUCUCAAUUCCAUUGAUAAAAGCAUAUGAAUCGUUGUAAUCCGGACUUGGAGUGAAGGUUAUGUUCAAUAGCCUCUGAUCGUCUUCGAUGUUAAUGCAGAAUUCUUUGAAAAAGGGAUGGCCGUUGCCAUCUGCUGUCAGUGAAGCGCUGAAGUUUCUUAACAGAGUGAAAGAAGCUGCUUUAACAGAGAAGAAAGCUGCAGAGGGGUUGAACCUUGGUUUUGAAGUUGGAUUGAAAUGCAGGCGGAUGAACUUUUGACCGGCGGUGACGUUGAAUAUGUAGGUGAAUUGCGAAUGAGAAACGCGUGAUGUUGAAUAUGGGACUUGCUUAUUUUCAGUGACGGUUGUUGAUUUGGGAGCGGAUGCGUCUUCAUGUGGGGAGUAUUGAGAGUUAACAUCUCCAACCCAAGUCCGACCGGGAGUACUCGUGUUGCCCAACCAGCCACAAGCAAGAAAUAUGUUGCUUUCUACUAGAGAGUAAUUAGAGUCACCGGUGACGACAACAGCUAGAUGAUGGCAGGAGAAGAAGAAAAAGAAGAAGAAGAAGAAGUGGAAGAUUUUUCUGUAUGUCUCCAUUAAUUUUUUGACAAUUAAUUAAUAGGCAGGCUGCAGCUAUAGCUUUGAUUCUUCAGAUAGCUAGACAUUUAAAGUUAGCAAAUUUUGCAGCAAUAUGUCCGUCUCUGUCAGUUGGGGGCCAGAGGCGCCUUGGCGUUUCGGACAUGACAAUCAAAAUGAUGGAACUUCUUAGUCUUCGUCAACUUCUUAGUCUUUGCCCUUUGGCAUCAGUCCAUUCUACUAUCUCCCGUAAGGCACUUUCCAUGGCCACUAUUACUAGACUUGUUUUGAAAUAUCAACUUAUAUAAAACCAUACUAUGAAACUUCGUAGUAACCACAAAUCAAUCAGUUGGAUUCCAUAAUUAAAUAUACACUUAACAAAUCUAGAUUGGACUUGAAUGUUAAAUUAGUGUUCGGUCACUAAAUUAAAAAAAUAUUCGCCCAUAAUUGGUUAUUUUAGAAAUACAUGUUUAGUAGUUUGUUGAAAGGUUGAACUAAUUAUAUUAAUGGUGUGUUUACUAAUUAGUUAUUGGAAUAAGCUGGAAUCAGAAUGAGCUGGAAUCGAAAUGUGCUGUAAUCGUAAUCAGGAAUGUGAAUUAAAAUAAAUUAUUUACUUGAGUUGCAGGAAUUGGAAUCGAAAUGGAAAUGAGAUUUAUUUAAUCUCAUUUCCAUUGAUGUGUUUAUUUUAUCUUGAAAUUGGAAUGGACUAUCAUAAUUUAUAAAAAUGCCCUUUGUUAAUUAUUGUCAAAUGAUGAUGAUGAUGAUGAUGAUAAUAAUAAUAAUAAUAAUGAAAUAAAGAAAAAUUAUAGUAGUAGUAGUAACUUAUCAUUAUAAUAAUAAUUAUUAUUAUUAUUAUUAUAAAUUAUAUUAUAAUAAUAUUUUAGUAAAUAAUAAUCUGCUGUACCGUACAUCCGCCUUGGCCGUAAACUUGAAAAUUCUAAUUAACUAUAGAAUAGAUAGGCCUGAUUUGCAACUCACAUGUUCUCUCCUCUUACUCCGCUCUUCAUUAAUUUUUGUAUGUUUUUGUGACUUUAUUUAUAUAUAGUCGAGAAUCCAAAUAGUAUGAUUAAAAUAAAAAAUCGAUUAGAAGACAGGUUGGUUUCCAAUUAGUUCAGAACAAGGGAUUAAAAAAAAAAACUUACCGAUCACUAUUUCACAGGUGAGUUCAUGAGGAAAAUAAUUAGGAGUUGCUUUCUAUUGACCACCGGGACUUGCACGGCUGCUUGACUUGUACAAUUACUGUUGUUGAAUUUGAACGACCAUCGUUAGCAUGUUAGAAUUAGAUUGGAUUAUAUUUGCUUGUGUCUUUUAUUUUGUGUAGUAUAAGAUUAAAUUGGAUUAUAAAAGUAAUAUGUUAUUGGAUAUUAAAAUCACAUAUAUAUUUAUUUAGAAGUGGGACUACUUACAUUUAAAAAAUUACUCUGAACACAUUAAUUUUAAUAAAAGUAUGUAUUUAAAAAAUAAAUUAAAUGCCUUUAGAUAAAGAACAUAUAUUGAUUCAUUCAUCUGUUCCCUCCCACCCGCCUUAAUUGUGAGACUAGAACCAUGUACUUUAAUGUUCACAUCGGUGUUGCCCAUAUGCCAAACAUAUCAUCAAGCUAACUUAGGUAAUUAUUACUCGAAAUCACUAAUUAAAUGAGGAUGGAAACCUUAUCAAUUUACGUUAAUCUUUGUCCCUUAUUAUUAUUUAAACUCAGGUAUCAAUAAUGUAAAGUUCAUAUUUAAUUAUGACCAAUUCAGCUAUGCCUAAGCAAUGUCUCUCAGUAACGUAAUGUCUACUGUCAUAGAUUAAACUCAAACCGUCUCAUAACUAGGAUAAGGAUCCUCUCUCUCUCUCUCUCUCUUUGAUGCAAAAGCUUAACGUAAAUGGACAAAAGCUUCUCAGUGGAUCAGAUUAUGAUGCAAAUAUCUUUUGAUGACGGCUUUAAUAUGAUUAUUCUAAUUUAGAAAAUGUCAAGUCUGAAUACAUUUGGAAGCAUGUGUGAAAGAACUUAAAUCGAAAUUUAUGAGUAUGAAUUUUAUGAGGCUUACUACUAUAGGAUCAAUAUUUCAUUUUCCUGACCCUUUUUAUAUUUUUCCUAUGAAGGAGGCUGAUGAGUGUGGUUGCUAGGCAGAAUUUAAUGCCUUUGCUCUUGCUAUGCAGUGUUCAUUUAGUAAUUUCUCAUUUAAGGUAAAUCCUACCACUCCUAGAUUCUUCUAAUGCGGUUAGCGAACUCUUGAAUAUUAGUUGAAAAUGAAUUAAUUACUUGCAUUUUUACAUAGCUUCAUAAAAACUAGCUUAAUAAAAAUUUAUUUGGAAAUUAUUUGCCAAGAACCUAAUAUUUCUUUUAUAGCUGUUGUUAUUUAAUCCUAUUAUAACUUUCGAAAAAGUAUACUUGGAAAUUUUUUCAGGCCUAAAUUAAAUUCUUCAAGUUUAAAUUGAAUAAAUUUGGCUUUUGGUUAAAUCUCUGAACCAAAUUGAACAAAUUUUAUAAUUUUACUAAUAAAAUUAAGUCUAUUUCAAUUCAAAAGAGUGUAAAACUAAAAGAAAACUCGAGAACAUGCAACAGUUUAUAUGAAAGAUACAACAACUGGGAUCAAACAUAAAACAUAGAUGUCAAACAUGAAAUGGGCGAGAAAAUCCUCAAGUUUUGGCUUUAUUUAAGACAUGCAACAGUUUAAGUGAAACAUGCAACAAUAAAGGUCAAACAUGCCACAUAAAAUCUACCUAUAAGAAAGUCAUAUAAAAGUGCAACAGCUGAGGUCAAACUAAUGCUAAACAUGAGAACCAUGUAAACAUACAACAGUUCAUGUCAAACAUGCAAUAACUAAGAUUGAACAUGUAAUAUGAAUGUCAAACAUGAAACAAACGGGAAAAUCCUCAAUUUUUGGCUUUAUUUAAGACGUACAAUAAUUUAAGUGAAAUAUACAACAAUUGAGGUCAAACAUACAACAUGAAAUCUACAUUUAAAAAAGUCAUAUGAAACAUGCAACAAUUGAGGUUAAAUAGGAAAACCAUGUAAACAUUCAACGAGUCACAUUAAACAUGCAACAAUUAAAGUCAAGCAAGCAAUACAAAUGUUAAACAUGAAAUAGGCGGGAAAAUUUUCGGUUUUUGGCUUUAUUCGAGACAUGCAACAAUUCUAAUAAAACAUACAACAACUAAAGUCAAACAUCAACAUCAAAUCUACAUGGAAAAAAGUCACAUGAAACAUGCACAACUGAGGUCAAACUUGCAACAACUCAGGUUAAACAUGAGUACGAUUUAAAUGAAACACAUGAUAUAUGUGACAGAUGGUCCAGCAUGUGACAUGGAUGUCAAACAUGAAAUGGAUGGGAAAAAUAUUUUGGGGUUUUUUUUUUUUGAAUUCUGUUAUACACAUUUUAUUAUUGAUAUUUCAUCAGACAUUACAAAUUACAAUAUUUACAAUCGUACUAAGCAACUGGGACCACUGCCAUACAUUAACCCACUGAAGUAUUUGCCCAGAUACUUUAAACCCUCUCUAAUAUUCGAGAAGUGUCUACUCCACUCACAUUUCGUAAAGAAGAGACAAUCUCCACUCACAUUUCGUAAAGGAGAGACAAUCUUCACUCAAUUAGUUGAUAAUUUUGGGGUAUUUAGAAUAAUAAAGAUGAGACAAAUAACAAUAUAUAUUUAAAUUUUAACAUUCACUAUGAGACAUCACAUUUAAAAUAUGGAACAAAUAUUUAUCUUGUAUUAUUUAUAAUUAUUUAUUUUUUUUAUUGAUUAUGAUAAGAUGCAACCGAUCAUGAAACUGAUUGCACCAAGUUUUUGGUUGCCUAAUUAGCUCUCUUUUUUAAAGCUUGGCACUAUACCAAAUUGGCAUUGUAGCCAUGCCAAACCCAUGUGAAGAGGAUUGAGGGACAAAUUGAGAAUUAAUGCUUCUUUGGAUCUAAAUUGUAGCUAAACAUACUUGUUUACUGGCCAUUUGUCUCUCUAAAAAUUUUAAGCUAUGAAUUAAUUGCACAUCAAUAAACACAUUAUCUUUAAAGUUUGCAUAGUUUGGGUUUGGCUUUUUAAUGCCCCUGAGCUUUCCAUCAUAAAUAUGGGAUUUGAUUAAGAUAUUAAAAUUGCAACGAUAGAGAGAUUUUCAUUUUGUUUUCAAAGUUUACUUCCAUUUCUCAAGUGUCGAUGGUGAAUCAACAGUACAGGUGCAAAAUCACAGUGUUUUGCCUAUUGAAGUUUUGCAUUUUAAUCGUUUAAGUCCAAAACAAGUUUGGUUUUAUACUUUUGUUGUAGAUAGGUUCUCACAUGUGACACACAUGUGAGUCACUUAUUCUGACCAUAAAACUUUUGUCAAGUUUGUUAGGAAGAGUGAGAAAUACAUCAGAGGUAAUACAAAUAAUUAAUACUUAUAUAAAAUGUGUAAUUAAAUUUAAUAUGACCACCACUUGUAUCAUAGUUUUUUUUUUUUUUUUAUAUACAAUGGGGCUCUAAAAAAGAGCUAAGAAAGGACUAAAUAGGGAAAACCACCCUAUACACAUCAUGAAAACAUAAAGGAAGAGAGCCGACCAAAUUUGCCACAAAGUUAGCCGAAAAGUUAGCCGAAAAGUUUGCUUCUCGAUAAAUAUGGAUGAUGGUAAUAUUCCAAUUCUGCUUGAACUCUUAGAUGGAUCGAAUGAGAGGAGAAAAUUUGUUCACCAAAUCUAAACACUUAGUAAUCAUUUGAGUCAUGUAUUAACGAUCUACUUCAACUUGCAGCCAAAGAAUUUUGGAUUGCCAAACAAUGUCCAAGCCUUGAUAGAGACCCAGACUAUCCAUUCCUCUUAGUUGCAACAUCCGUAUUAAGUUUACACCUAGGCAAAAUGGGAGGAGUCCAGCCAAUCCAUCUCUCAGUCUUCAUAAACCCCUGUUUAGAGGCGAAUUGUUAAUCUGUUGAAUUUCCUCAACCCUCAUAGUGACAUUAGUAACCAAAGCUCCACUAUUUCAAGUCACACGACUAAAAAAAAUUGGUUCGCUAAAACCAGAGUCUCCAAAUUGCUACAUUAAAGAAACACCUUUACUAUAAAACUUAUCAAUCAACCAAAAACUCUUCAAGUUUUGAUUCAUCUAAUCCCGAAGAUCAAGGUUAUAACAUUCAUGGCGAUGCGACACAUGAAUGAUUCGAUAUGGGCCUUGCCAGCUCCAAGCAAGGUUCCAAAUCUAAUCUUCUAUAUGAUUUCCAUAAGGGUUGUUAGCAUGUCAUGCAGAUUUGAUUGUAAAAAUGCCUUUAUCAGAAAAAGCCCAAAAGACUUAAUCGUUACCUCUUUGAUCCAAAGAGGAGGGAAAGCAUUUAUUCUGAGGAUGAUGUGAUUAGGGAGAAGAUGUUUGAAUUGGUCUCAUCACCAGUUCCCAUUACAAUAAGUAAAGUUAGUAGUAACAUUAUUAAGGAUAUUGUCAGGAACAAUACCAAUUGCAUGAAAGAACAAUGGUUUAUCUUUUGUAACCCAACGAUCCCACCAAAACUAAUCCCUUCUACCACCUCCUAUAUUCUAGGAAACGCCUAACCAUAUAUCCUUCCCAGCAUUCCCUAUAUCUUUUCACAAGUGAAACCCAUUUCAUGUACGUAAACUUGAAGGAAAAUUAUAGGAAUCCACGCCAUAUUUAAUUAUCAAUACUUGGGCACACAGGCUCGAAAGAGAAGAAAUAAUGCCCUAUCCCAUCUUUAUCAACUGAGCUCGGUUCAUCAUACCAGGAUUUUAAAGCCCAAACCACUACACACUUUUACCUGGCAAAUUUUAUCCCAAUUAACCAGGGUCAUUUUUGUUGAUCUGUUACAUCGCUUCAAAUGAACUUUUUACAAGCAUGCUUAACUUUUGACUUAAGUUUUGAAAGGAGAAUUUUCGUUUGCAUGGCAUAAAUGGAGAUUGCUUGAAGGAAUGACUGAGAAGUGUAGUUCUUCCAACCAGGGAAAGAUAAGAGGUCGUCCAACUAGACAAACUUUUUUCUACCUUGUCGAUGAUCUCAUAAUAAGUAAGCUUAGAGAGAGAAGGAGGGGCAUACCAAGGUAUUUACCACGAUUAUUAGUGAUAGAGUAACUAAGAACUCUUCUAAUAUUAUUAUCCUCCUUAGCAUUAAUAUUCUUUUAUAAGAAUACUUUGGUCUUGGUUCUAUUAAGCUUGGCCUUGGAACUUCUACAGAAAGUAUCAAGGGCCGAAUUGAUUACUCUCGCCUACUCACAGGAUGCCUUAGGUAGAAGCAAAAGAUUAUUAGUAAAAAGAGAUUAGUGAGGGGGGUUCCAUUACAAGUCAAGCAAAUAAGUUUCUAUUCCCCCGUGUCCACUGUAUUGCAAAUACCGUGACCUAGCCUCUCAAUACAUCAAACAAAAAUGUACGGCAAGAGGCGUCCCCCUAAUGAAUUCCCUGAUAAGGAAAAAAUUCAUUCGUCAACUCUCCAUUUCAAAGCACGACCAUUUUCAAAGCUGUGAUGCAUUCCAUAAUAAUUUGUGCAAGAUCCACUAGAUGAUUGUUUUUCUCCGCAUUGCAUGAACGAAACUUCAACUAAGACGGUCAUAGACUUUCUUCAAGUCAACUUUAACCUGCCAUGUUCCCCGUCGACUAGUUUCCUCUGUAUAGAAUGAAUAAUCUCCGGAGCUACAAUAAUAUUUUCAAUAAUAUGUCAGUCUGGUACAAAACUAGUUUGAUGGGGGCCAAUGAGCUGAGGAAUAAUGGUUUUCAACUGACUUGCCACAAUCUUAGUCACAGUUUUGUAAGCCAUAGUACACAUGCUUAUGGGACGAUACAUCCUAAGAUUAAUAGGAUUAUCAUUCUUGGAAUCAGAAUUAGCAAAGUUGAGUUAAUCUCUUUCAUGAAACGAAAAAAAGAGGGAUCAACAAUACUCCACUGAAAUUGGUAAAAAAUGGCAUGAAGGCCAUCAACUUCUGGAGCUUUUAACGGCUUCAUGCUGAAAAUAGAAUUCUUGAUUUUGGUAUCAUCAACAAGCCCUUGAAGAGUGUGAAACACAAUCUCAUCAAUAAUCGGAAAACAUCCCGUAAGAAGGUAAGUGUCUUUACUAUCUUCACAAGUAUAUAAAGAUAGAAAGAAAUGAACAACGUGUUGUUUAAUUGCCGCGUUAUCAAAUAACCACUAUGCAGAUUCAUUUGUAUUAUUGCAAUACAAUUUCUUUGUCUUCUAGCAAUAGUUUUUUGGUAGGACUUAGUAGUGUUUCAGUGCCCGUGUAAUAGCCAAGCCUUAAGCCAAAAAUUUAUUCUUGAGACAAAACUUCUUCAAGCUCUUUUUUCAAUUAAAUCUUAAGAUGAAUAAGGCUCUCAGAAUAGUUAUCUUUGAGCACUUUUUAGAUAACCCCCCAACAAGCCAAAAUCUGACGCUUUCUUAUAAAAAUGUUUCCAAAUGGUCCUUAUUCUAGAUUGAGACUUUACCAAUGAAAUAACGAGCCCUUUGAAUAUAGAAAGCACCAGAGUUCCAUGUAUCAGCAACGAGAUCAGUGAACCUAUUGUUGGUAAGCCACGUUGCAAGAAAACAAAAGGGCCUCUUACCUUACUUAUUCCUCUCCUUCCUAUUGAAAUGAACUAACACAGGUUUGUGAUCAAAAGUGACUUUCGAGAGGUGCAACACUGUAUUAUUAGCAAAAUUAUCGAACCAUUCCUCAUUAGACAUCGCCCUGUCUAGGCAUUUAAAAAGAAACUUCGAGACUAGGUAAACCUUGGUCUGUUAAAAGGAAAAUCAUAUAUCUUUUUAGAAUGAAACUAGUUGUAAAACAAACCAAAAAAUAUACUAGUAUUUACAAAACCACUUUUCUUCUCUUAAGCAUACAAGAUAGAAUUAAAAUCACCACCCAUUAGCAAAGGGCCUUGAACCGCGUUAGCAAAAUUAUCCAAAUGUUCCCAGAGGUGCUUCCUAGAGAUGGCCAAUGGAUUGAACGGCACGGGCAUGGCACGUGUUCGCACAGCACAGCACGGCACGACACUAGCACAUUUUGAUGGGGCAUGCAGCAUGGUACAGCACACAUGUGGGCUGGGCCACACUUAGAAUUUUAGGCACGUGGACUUUAAAAGCACGACAUGAUUAAAAAUGGGUUAAGCAUGACAUAAUGAAAAAGGCCGCAAUAAGCAUGUUUUAUUUUUUUAAUGAAAGUAAACUUAAAAUUUUAUGAUUUUACAAAUAACUUGAAAUUGAUUUUUUUAAAUUUAUUUAAUUCUUAGUUAAAAAAUACUAUAAUUGAUUUAUAUUUUUAAUUUAUUAAAUAAAUAAUUGAUAUCAUGAUUUUAAUGAAUAAAAUUAUAAAUAUCAUGAUUUUAUAAAUAUGCAUUAAUAUUAUUGUGAAUUAUGAUCUAUGACUUUAUGGAAGUCCAAGUUAAUAUUUAAAUUAACCCUUAAGAAAAAUUUAUUAUUAUUGUUGUUGUUGUUAAGUAUUAAAAAAAUUAUAAUACUAUAACGUCAAACUUAGUAAUUGAUAUUACAUUCUCUUACUAUUAUUAAUUUAUUAUUAUUGAAUAUGGACUUGAGUUUUGAAUUUUGAUUUUAUUAAAUGUGAAUAAAGGUAUAAGCCUAAAAAAAUAUAUAUAGACUUGAAAAAAGUACGCUAAUAGUUUCGCAUACACUUUUAAAAAUUUUUUAAAAAAGAAAAAAAUCUUAUUGGGCUUUUCUUUUCAGGCACGGCAUGACACCAGCACGAGCAUAUAUAGACCUUACUUUGAUGGGCCGAGUUAGCAUGGUACUGCCUAUUGGCCAUCUCUAGUGCUUCCUGAUAAUAGGAUAGGACUAGCGUAGAUAGCAGUGAUCCAUGACACGAAGUUGUUAUUCUUAAAAACUUUGAAGUGAAUAAAUUGUCUAUGAUUAGUAACAAUUUCUAUAUUGAAAAAGUCCUUUCAUAGGAUCCAAAUCCCCUCAGAGAAACCAGUAGCUUCAACUCUAGGGGAUUUAUCAAAGCUAUUUCUUUUAAUGAAAUCAUCUGCUUUAUACCCACUGAUUCUAGGCUCUAGUAAAACAACCAUGACCGGCUCAUAAUUCUUGAUAAGAGAACCAAAAAAGCGACAGAAGACUAGCAAUGUCGCUCCCUAGACAUUCCAAAACAUAAUUGAUAAAGACAUCUAGAUAUGUACGAUAAAAGUACGAAACACCUUAUAAUUUCGGCCCUGAGGCCUUGAUCUCCAAGUCCAUAGGUGAUUCAUCCACAAGAGACAUAUCUCCAUCAGAAGAACCAGACUCAUCAUUAUCACUUUCUCUCAUAUAAUUGUUAUCCUUCCCAUCAUCAUCCAUGUCGCUAGUGAUAAUUAAGUGCCGGUAUUAGAGGGAUCAUCGGCUAGUUUAGAUGACUUAUCAUACUGCACACCAGUUAUAUUGUCCUUAGCUUGGCCACUGGAAGAGGAAGCAGCGGAAUUAUUAUUGGUAGAGGCAACAGUGGUGAAAGGGAUAGUAGAGUGGUAUAAAGGAUUGAGACUGGUUGGGACGAUAGUUGGUACAUGCUGGCUAGUCUGGUUUAAAUGGACGUUCGUUUUGCUAUGUAAGGUGUGUGGGAGUUGUACGAGAGUAGCAUCAAUAGCAUUCGGUUGGUUGGUAGUGUUGGGGCCAUGAAUAGAAAAAUCCGCACGUAUGACAAUGCUUAGGUUGGGGGUGGAAUUUUGGCUUUUUUUUUUAAAUGUUGAUUUCUAAGGACAAGUAGAAUAGUGGUAUUAUUGGAGGUUGGCACAUUACAAUUCAUGGUAAUUGGAUAUGACUUAUUAAUGCCAUGAUUUGGGUCCUCCUCAUUGACGCUGGCAAGAAUACCAAAUCGCGAUUCCUAGCCGAAAGAUCCCCAGUGACCACGCUCAGAAUCACGACCAAGCUCUCUUGCCUUGUCAAUAUGAGGUUUCCCUUUCCUGGAAACUACCAUCCAUGGCCCAAGUUUAGGGAUACUCUGGUUAUCAUCACUGGUUUUAUUGACCAUCUGCUUGCCGAAGAUGUUCACAUGUUGAUUUAGCUCCCCUGGGUUACCAUUUUCCUCCGUAUGAUUAGGGCAAGAUUCCUUAUUAUGGUCAUAUUUUUCACUCUGGAAACAAAUAUUAGGAAGACUUUCAUAUUCCACCUUCUGAGUUUUUCCAUCCAACAAAAACUAUAAAACAAGAGGUUUUUAAGAUCAAUUUCAACUGCAAAUACAAGCGAAAUUUCCUCUUAUUGCUGACUCGAUGUUAUAAUCAAUUCUGAUAACUGAUCCAAUUAUCUAGUUGAGCAUAUGAUGAAUUUUUUAUGAUAAUAAUGUAGAGCCAUGCACAACAGGCAGAUCCAAGCUAUAAUCGAAUCAGUUUCCUCCUUAGAACUAUCAAAGUGAGGAGUUCAUGGUUGCACCGUUAAAUAGCGGCCUAAAAUUGUCCAAGGACCAAGAGUCAAAGCAAACUCGGCAUCAUCGUUUGAUUUAAAGCGGACAACAUAAAAAUCAUUCUCAAGGUCAAUGAUAGAGAAACCAAAGGUCGAGCUCCAAGUUGCUUCCAAGCGAUUGCAGAGAGCUCAAUACCCUAUGUGACGUCACAAUAGCUUGACAACAACCGUAUGCUGCGAAAGCUUGAUAAGUUGGUCGUGAAGCUUUUGGGAGAAAGAGAUGGAGUGUAAAUUACCACAUCGUGUUCUUAAAAAAUCAAUUCAUCAUCAUGGCCAAUCAAAUCUGCUUCAACUUCCCUUUGUGAUUCCAUGAGUAUAUCCUUAAAAGAGAUAUGCUCAGGGUUGUCUCUAUCCUCACGUUGAGGCCUAAAUUUUGCUUCUUUGGUAGAUCGAUCAUCAUUUAUUGGUGAACUGAAGAUUUUUACUACUUGUAUCAUAGUUUUUCAAAAUAAAUGUACUCAUAUUAUAGCAUCAUUUUCUUAUUAUAUAAUCAAAAAUAGAAUCCAUUUAUUCAUUAUAUUAAGUUGUAAAUAUAUCUUUCUAUAUGUAUUCCUAAAUUACAGUAGACUUGGAUUGCAUAGCUUAAUUAUAGGGAUCCUAGCUUAACUAUAGGAACUGGUGGUCGUGUAUAGCAAGUCAGUCGUAUGUAUAUAUAUACUCAAUCAAAUGUCAAUAAAAUUAACUCUGCCCAUUCUACUUUUCGCUCAUAUUUACAUGCUAUCAGAGCAAGGACUCGCUGCACUUUAAUCUCUCGUGUAGCAUCUCUCUUUCAACCAUCAUAACCCUUGAGGAUAUUCCUAAAACCAGCCAUUCUGAUCCACAAAAAUCAGAGAUUUUUGCAGAUUCCUCCAAGGCAGAUCUCUCCAAUCCUUUUGCACUCACCAUUUGGAUAACCCUGGAUUGAUUCUCGUCUUCAAACCUCUAAAUGGGGAUAAUUACUUUGGUUGGAUAAGGGCUAUGGUUCGAGCUUUAAACUCCAAGAAUAAGCUCAGAUUUGUCAAUGGUUCUAUCAAAGUUCCUUCAGAAGAAGUUGAUCCUGAAGGCUAUGCGACUUGGUCGAGAUGCAACGAUAUAGUUCAUUCCUGGAUUGUCAAUUCUUGCGAUCCAGAAAUAGCUGACAGUGUGACUUUUUAUUUUACUGCUCAUUAGGUUUGGAAAGAUCUUUAUGAGCGUUUCUCUCAAGUCACAUCUUUGAGAUACAACGAGAUAUUGUUUUUCUUCGACAAGAGUAACUCUCUGUCUCUACUUAUUAUACUAAGUAAAAAAGUUUUUAGGAUGAAUUGGCAACACAUUCAGACAUAGCACAAGCCAAUCGACAGAAAUUGAUGCAGUUUCUAAUGGGUCUAAACAAAACUUAUAGUGCAAUUCGAAGUCAAAUCCUGCUCAUGAAUCAUUUGCCUUUUAUUCGCCAAGCCUACUCUUCAAUCUCCCAAGAGGAUAAACUGCGCCUCCUCAGUUCAACGCAUACAAGCACCAAUUCAAGUAGCAGAGCUGCCGCCAUGGCUGUACGCAGCAAGCCGAUUCCUUCGGCAACAAGAAAAACCGAACAAACUUGCUCUCAUGGGUUCCUAGAUUCUCGCGAUCGAACAUACUCUCAAGCGUAGGAAUUUGCAGGACCUCAAGAUGGAGAUCAACGUUGAUCUGGCUCUAGGAGAGGUAGGGAUUUGUGUGACCACUGUGGAAAUUUCAGCCAUUGGAUCCAAAAAUGUUAUAAGUUGCAUGGAUACACACCGGGCCAUCUUAAAGCUAAAAUGAACUCAGGCCAAAAUUCAAAUCGGCAUAAAGGUAUUUCUAUGGCUGAUCAAGUUGGAGAGGUGUCAAACACAAAUGAAGGCUCACUUACAAUAUCUGAUGCUCAAUUCAAGCAAAAUGAACUCAGGCAUAAAGGUAUUUAUGUGGCUGAUCAAGUUAGAGAGGUGUCAAACACAAAUGAAGGCCAUCCUAAAGCUAAAAUGAACUCAGGCCAAAAUUUAAAUCGGCAUAAAGGUAUUUUUGUGGUUGAUCAAGUUGGAGAGGUGUCAAACACAAAUGAAGGCUCACUUACAACAUCUGAUGCUCAACUCAAGCAACUUUUGUCACCCCUGAAUAAUCAAAAUGAAGGUUCUCACUCUAAAGCAAAUGCGGUAACAAACCCAGGUUUGUCUAAGAUUGCUUCCCGAAAUUUGAUUAUUGAUAGCGGGGUGACAUAUCAUAUUACUUCAUCAUCUAAUUUAUUGCAUAAAGAUAACAACUGCUCGUUACCGCCCGUGUUGUUGCCUAGUGAAGAAAGAUCAAAUAAUGUUGCAAAAGGGUUUUUACCUCUCAAUUACGUCUAUUAUCUGCAUGAUGUGUUAUCUGUGUGUACAUUUAAGGUUGAUUUGAUGUCAGUUAAUCGUUUGACAAUAGGUUUGAGUUGUUCAGUGACGUUUUUCCCAUUUUUCAGGAUCUAGCUAUGAGGAGUACAAUUGGUUUAGGUAAACAACGAGAUGGGCUAUAUUUUUUAGUGGCAUUAGCGACAAAGCAAUCUGUGACAAAACCUUCCUCAUCAAACAAUCGAGCAGUCUGCAAUCUCACCAUCUCAUCUACUGACCUCUGGCAUAAUCGCUUAGGCCAUAUAUCAUAUUCUCGUUUAAGUUUUAUUGCCAAGAACUUUUUGAAUUUUUCUGUUGAGUCUAAUAAUGCAUGCCUCAUAUGUUCGUUGGCUAAGUAAAGUCGUUUUCCUUUCAAUAACAGUGUUAUUUCUUCUACAAAACCUUUUGAAAUGAUUCAUUGUGAUAUUUGGAGUCGUUAUCGACACAUUUCCAUUACCGGAGCUUAUUAUUUCCUCACUAUUGUUGAUUAUUAUAGUCGUUCCACAUGGAUUUUUUGGAUGCGACACAAAAACGAAGCACAAUGUCUUUUAAAAAGCUUCUUCAACUAUGUUUCCACUCAAUUUAACUGUUGUAUUAAAACAUUUUGAAGUGACAAUGGUAGAGAAUUUAUCUCACUUAGAUCUUUCUUUCAAGAUCAUGGUGUUGUUUUCCAAACUUCAUGCGUUUACACGCCUCAACAAAACAGGGUUGUAGAACGCAAACAUUGCCAUAUCUUACAAGUAGCCCGAGCAUUAAAAUUCCAAGCACAACUACCAACCCAAUUUUGAGGCAAAUGUGUACUCACUGCUGUACACAUCAUUAAUAGGUUACUUUCACCUGUUAUUUCCUUCAAAACUCCUUACAAACUUCUCUAUUCAAAAUUGUCUUCCUUUUUCCCAUCUUUGUGUUUUUGGGUGUUUGGCCUAUGCCACUAAUGUUCACACUUCUCACAAAUUCGACUCUCGUGCUAUAUCAUCUAUCUUCAUCAGUUAUCCCAUCGCUCCAAAGGGCUACAAAUUAUUUAAUUCAUCAACUAAAUAGAUUUUUACAAGCCGGAAUGUAAAAUUCCACGAAACCAUUUUUCCUUACUCAUCAGUCCAACCCAAAUUUUCUCUUCCCCUGACAGCCCAUCAAUCAAGCCCAAUUCAUUUAAUUACUUCCUCCCUCGACUCAUCAUUUCACUCUAACGUAAUUCCACCAAGCCUCAUUCCCUUAUCCCACCUCUCUCUCAAUUCUCCCAAUCAAAUUUUCUCUCCUCCUCCCACGGUAGCACCGCCGUCUUCCCCUUCCUAGGCCAUCCUUCGUACUUAUUUUCGUCGUCCUAAAUUUGUUGCCCCAUUAGUCUCAAAUGACCCACCUUUUUAAUUCCAAGUUCGACCAAAGGUACAUGAUAUCCACUGGCUAAUUAUAUUUCAUAUCACUGAUAUAAGCUUGCUUAUCAGUCCUUUAUUGUUCAAAUCAGUAAUCUCACUGAACUCAUGUCUUAUUUAGAAACUGCCGUUCUCCCUGAGUGGCAAGCGACCAUGCAUUCCAAAUUGCAGGAACUGCAAGAAAAUGGUACUUGGUCUUUUACCCCUCUUUUGGCUGGUAAAACUCCAAUUGGCUGUCGUUAGGUUUACAAGAUAAAAACAUAAGUUUGAUGGAUCCAUUAAACGGUAUAAGGUGCGGCUUAUAGCCAAGGGUUUCACUCAAUUAGAAGGAGUUGACUACCAGGAUACUUUUUCUGCGACAACGAAAAUAAUUUAUGUUCAUUGGUUGUUGGUGUUAGCUGCUACCCGUGGUUAGUCUCUUCAUCAACUCGACGUCAAUAAUGCCUUUCUUUAUAGUGACCUCCUAGAAGAAAUUUACAUGUCUCUCCCGCUAAGGCUUCGGCGACAGUGGGAGGAACACUUGGUUUGUCACCUCCACAAGUCAUUAUAUAGGUUUAAACAUGCAUUUUGUCAAUGGUUUCUUAAAUUCUCUGAGGCCAUACGUUCAGUCGGAUAUGUACAAUCAAAAGCUGACUACUCUCUGUUCACUAAGAAGCAAGGCAAGUCCUUUAGUGCCCUUUUGAUAUAUGUUGACGACAUUUUAAUCACUGAAAAUGAUCCUAUAAGUAUAAUCGAUAUCAAAAAAUUCAUGCAUAAUCAAUUUCACUUUAAAGAUCUAGGAGACUUGAAGUAUUUCCUUGGUAUUGAGAUUUCUGCAUCUAGGAAAGGUAUUUUUAUUUCUUAGAGAAAGUAUGCGUUGGAAAUUAUAAAGGAUGCAGGGUUAUUAGGGGCAACUCCCAUUGAUACUCCCAUGGAAUGUGGCUUAAAAUUGUUUGAUAAAAGUGAGCCACUCAAAGACCCAAGGCGAUAUAGGCGAUUAGUUGGAAGAUUAAUAUAUCUCACAGUUUUGAGGCCGGAUAUCAUGUACUCUGUCUAUAUAUUGAGCAGAUUUAUGCACCAACCCCGGAAGGAUCAUUGGGAGGUAGCCAUACGGGUUGUACGCUAUUUAAAAUCUGCUCCUGGCCAAGGCCUUUUCUUCUCCUCAAUUAGUGAUCUUUGGUUGCGAGCAUAUUGUGACUCGGACUGGGCAGGAUGCCCCCUUACAAGAAGAUCUACUACAUGGUAUUGUGUGUUCUUGGGCCCUUCGUUGAUUUUGUGGAGAUCGAAGCGACAGAAAACCGUCUCCAUUUCCUCAGCCGAAGCAUAGUAUCAUGCGAUGACUGGAUCUUUUUGUAAAUUAACAUGGCUUCAUUACUUAAUUAGAGAUUUGGGGAUUUUACAUCAAGAGGCUACAUUGCUAUAUUGUGACAAAAGGUUGCAUUACAUAUAGCAACUAAUCCAAUUUUUCAUGAGUGCACAAAGCACAUAGAGAUGGAUUGCCAUUAUACAAGAGACAAGAUACAAGAUGGUUGUGUGAUAACGAGAUUUGUGAGUUCCGCGAAUUAGCUUGCCGAUGUGCUGACCAAAGCUUUGGGAAAAGAAGUUUUCAUGCCUAUGGUUCUCAAGUUGGGAGUGCCAGACAUUCACUCUCCAACUUGAGGGAGAGUAUUGGAAAGUAGAAUCUAUUUAUUCAUUAUAGUGAGCUGUAAAUAUAUCCUUCUAUAUGUAUUCCUAAAUUACAGUAGACUUUGAUUGCAUAGCUUAAUUAUAAGGAUCCUAUCUUAACUAUAGGAACUGAUUGUCGUGUUUAGCAAGUCAGUCGUAUGUGUAUAUAUACUCAAUCAAAUGUCAAUAAAAUUAAUUCUGCCCAUUUUACUUUUCUCUCAUAUUUGCAUUAUAUAGUUGAUAUAAUACUUUUGAUAUAUUUUAAAAUUUCUCUAGCCUAGCUUUUGGCAUAACUUCAAGGAUAGAUUUGUGAAUUUAGAAAGAGAAUUAGAAAGGGGUUUCUUCUUGUAAAUUGUUCUUUCUAAAGUUUUUAACAAUAAAGAAAUAAACAUAUUUUUAGUUGGAAUUAAGCAACUAGGAGGUUGAACGAUCAAAAUCUGUGUGUACUCAUCUUUUUAUUUUGAUCUGUUUCUUUUAUUAUUCUUGCUUCGAUUCUUGUGAGCGUCAUCUUGAUCCUGGGGUGUUUAAUUUGUAUUGUAAAUAUAGAUUCAAACCCAACAUCAAAGAGAAAGGCCCUUUUUUAUUUUGGGUUGUUAUUCCCUGCUUUGUUUAUAAUCAAAACAAUAAGUCCUUUUGAUGCUUCAAACACUAGGCCAAGUUCUAUUAACUGUAGUGCUGCUGGGUGACCGAGGCUUCCUAGACAAACAUAGACUAGAGAAUCGACAUCUUGUAAAUCAUGCCACUAUAAACAUUUCGUCCUGUGCACCAAAUUUUAUCCCCUCGUACGUUUCAAAAUUUUUUUGACAUAGGCUUUUCCAAUUCCUCAAAUGUUUUCACCUAACCCUAAUGUCUUUCUGAAAUUCUUUCGUAUCUCUAAUGAUCCCACAUUGACAACACUAGGUAGCUGAGCUAGAUGUGGGCAUUAACAUAAAGUGGCCUUGUGCCAGACGUAAGAGCAAGACAAAUCCAUGCAGAAGGUUUACAGAGGCCAUGUGGAAGAGAGUUUAGUUUCUGCAAAGGUGAAGCUAAUAUGUCUUUGAGAAUUUCAGGUUGAGUGUCUAUCUUUUGUUACGUAUGACGUCAUGAGGAAAAGUUCCUUAUAACUCAGACUAAUUGUCCUUUAUUUUUUCUUCGUUGGUCUACAGCUCUAAAUUGCUUGAUACAAGUAUGACUGAAGCGCUGUUGAUAACUUAUUUUGCAGAACAUAAUAUAUUGAAUAAUCUUUGGUUUAAUGCAAAAUAAUUAGUUUUCUAUCAUACUGCUUAAGCUGGACGACUAUUUUAGAACAUAUGAAAUAAAUUACAUGUUAUAUUUUGCCAUUACAUGAUAGUUAAAGGAAUUUCCUUUAAAAAAAUUCAAGUACAUGGUAGAAUAUUAAGUCAUUCUUUGUAUUAUUAUUAAGGGAAAUUAUCCACUGUCUACCCUUUUUUUACUGUUUUUAAAAAAUACAUAAAUCUUUUUUUUUCCAGCACUCCACCUGAAGUUAACAUUUUUUUCAUUAGUCCACACUCGUUAUAAUACCGUUAGAACUUUGUUGACAUCAUAAGGGUAAAAUUGUCAUUUUAUAACGACAAAGUAUUGGAAAGGUGCAAAACAAUAUAACUUCAAGUGGAGUUUAACAAAAAAAAUAUUAAGUAUUGUGUAUUUUUGAAAAAAUACGAAAAAAAUAUGGUUGGUGGAUAAUUUAUCUUUUACAUUUAAGGGUAAAAAAGUCAUUUAUACAAUAUUUCGUUAGUUUUCUUAACGGUCUCCAAACGGAAGUGGAAAAGUGAAAAAAAAUGUAAGUUCAGAUGGAUUCCAGAAAAAAGUUGGAAAAAAUAGGUGGACGAUGGAUAAUUUCCCUAUUAUUAAUCUAGCGCUAGACAUGGUAGAAUAUUAAGUACAUUCGACAAAACACUUAUUAAUAAAAUUAUAUCAUAAGUUAAUAUUUGCAGUAUGAGAAUUAUUAUAAAUCAAGUAUUUAAUUAUCAAUAACAAUUUAUCCACCAUUGUAAUUACAAUUAAAAUGAUAAUUACAAUCACAAUUAAAAUAAUGUUUACAAUUACAAUUAUGAUAACAAUUACAACUGCAAUUGUAAUUCGUAAUUAUAAUUAUAACAUUAUAUACAAACUGCAACUGUAAUAAUUAUUGUAAUUGUAAUUGUAAUUACGAAUACAAUUGUCAAUGUAAUUCCAAUUCCAAUUACAAUAGUUGUAAUUGUAAUAAUCUUUAUAAUUAUUAUUUUAUUUGUAAUUGUCAUUGUAAGAGUUGUCGUAAUUAAAAAUGUAAUUAGUGAGUGUCAACUAGUUUAGAUAUUAAAAUCUUUUGUAUUGGAAUUUGGAAAUAAAAGGCCUGAGUUCAAACCGUGCUAACAUGGGGUGAGAGGGGAUUGGUUUGUCAUUAGUUGAGAUGUAAAAUCUCUUGUGUUGAAAAUAACAGGAUUGGAGGUUUGAAUUUCGUUCACAUGAAUGGAGAGGAGAUUGGAUUGUCAUUAGGCUAAACAAUUAAAAAAAAAAUUGUAACUAAAAUUAUUGUUGUUGAUGUCAAAAUUUGGAUUAGUUAGUUACUGACUGGAUACCAAAUCUCUGUGUCAGCAUUAUAUUUAUUUGUUGGGGAAGUGGCUUAUGAUCACUAGCAGAUAACUCGUAAACACUUGAAAUCACAAAGAAUGGUAAGAGGCGGUAGAGGUUUUUCUAGCGUGAACCCUCUGACACCUAAGUCAGUUAUCAGGUUUGCAAGAAAGAUAAAAUAUGUAAUUUCUAGUUUUUUAUGAAUAAAUAAUCUUAAGUAAAUGGAAUAGAAAAAUCAAAACUGAGAAAGAAAAUUGAACCUCCUCUUCAUUUGGAUUUUUUUGGACUUCUAUAAGCAUAUGGAAUUAUUGCACCAUCUUUAAUGCGUUGGCGUUACUAGGUUGAAUGUGUCGCUUAAAUCAUGAGUUACUACGAGCGUUACAAAGUAAUUAUUGAGCUGCAAUUAUAGUAGCUAGGCGUGCGUGGACAUUAUGCCUGACUUUUCGAAAGGAACCCGUCACUAAAACUUAAUUGGAAUCUUUGGACUGACCAGAUUCUGGUCUCCUCAAACCCAUCUGCUCGAGGUUACUAGAUUACCUCUUGGUGGAGAAGGUCUGCUCAAGGUCACUAGAAUCACCCCUCGGUCGAGGCGGUCUGCUCAUGGUAUUAAGAAUUACCUCCUGGUCAAGGUGGUCUGUUUGAGAUCAUCAAGAUUACCAUCUGGUCAAUGUAAUCUGCUCGAUGUUACUAAAUAAUAUCAUGGUUGAGAUCAUCAAAAUUACCACCUGAUUGAGGUUGUCUGCUCGAGGUCACCAGAAUUUUCUCCUAGUAGUCUAUCAACUAUUUGCUCACUCUUUACCUCGUUGAGAUCAUGAUCACUCUAUUUUAUUCCCCAAACAAUUGUUGUUGUAAUUAAAUUAUUAUUUGCUACAAAAUGACUAUUAGGAAGUGAUAUAAGGUAGCUCACAUUGUAAGAAAAAAUAAACCAGGUAGAUUCCCGAGAAAUAUUAGAGGGUUACAAAUGGUCCUACUUAAAAUUUAGAUUCUUUAAACAAUGUAUGAUACUAUGAUGAAGUAUUGUGAAGCUGCUUAACCAAAUCUUUUAACCAACACUCUCCAAGAUCCUCGAUUAGAAUCAACAAGAUGCUUAAGAGAUGAUAUGAAUUGCUAAUAAAGAAUCUAUGUAUGAACAAGAUGGUGACUAAUUCAAAAACGAUCAAAGAAUUAGCCAACAAAUCAAAGAAUCGUAAAACAAAGCUAUUAACGUGGUUCAGUCAAUUUGCAUUGACCUACAUCCAUGAGGGACCAAGAACGCCUCUCUCAAACAAGCUAUCUCUCUCUCUAUCUCUCACACCGGAAUUAGUCGUAUAAAUAGUUUUAACGAACCCAUAAACUUUUCCAGAAACGCAUGUGUUUACCACGUGAAUUAACGGCGUCAUAACAACUUUUGCAAAUCACGUGCGUUGCACAAGCUUCAUUAAACUAAAAACGGCAAAGCUUCUGGUCGUUUAAGCUAGCAAACUUAAUGCACAUCAAAACAUAGAUCUUGCAUGUCGUUUUGCCUUCGUCAUGGACAUACCAAAAACGCAAAUCACCUCUGUCGUUUUGAUCUCUUUAAUUUGCUUCAUGGAUAUAUGACCUUUAUGAUAAAACCUUUGUAAACUAUCUGAGCUUACUAAUUGAUAUAGCAUAUAUUAUUAAUUAUAAAUUACAAUACUAUGUGAUAAUAAAUAUAAAAACAUAAAUAUGAGGCUUGGAAAGGUACAAUGUUUUUAAAAAAGAUUCACUACCUUUUCAACAAUACUUAGGUUAUAUUGGUGUCUGACUGCCUAUCUUCUAGGAUGAUUGAAUUUAGAUCAUCUCAAUAUUACAAUUUUACAAUUUUAGCGAACUUCAAAUAAGUAUUCCAUUAAGUGUUUGAAUUUUAUCACAAGCGCUAGAGAGAAUUUGUUUUAGAGGGAGGAGGAAAAAUCACUUUGACUAAAGCAUUACAGAAAUGAGGUCUCUCCAGAGAUUUAUAAGAGAUGGGGUUUCCUCCAGAGCCCGCAAUAAGCGCCUAUGACACUUCCGGUUCCAUCAGAAACUCUUCUAAACCCGCAAUUGGGAUGUUCAUCAUGUCGAUGUUGUCUUUCAAAGACAGAGAGGCUGCUGCUGCCGACGUACUAUUAAUUAUUUAUAUGUUGCUGAAUAAUAAAAUUACUACUAGUGUUGAAGAGAAACCAACAAAGACAAAAUGGUUGGCUUGUGGUCAUGAUCAAUGGAUUAAAUGAUUUCUUUCUUAAUCCUAUAUUCCUAUGUAUGUAUGGGUCGUCAGUUUCUGUAGAAGUACUAAAAAAAUAACUUGCGUUAGAAAAAAAUAAAUAAAUAAAGAGAUAAUUAAUGGAUAAUAAAUGAAUGGCUUAAAACUGUUUUUGUCCUUCAAUUGACUAGGAUCAUAGACUUCAUUUUCGGUCAAUAACCCUUAUUAAUAGUAUGGUGAGAAAUUUUAAAAUAUCUUUGAAGUAUCACGUCAGUUAUAUAUAUAAUAAGUAAAUAAUAUUAUAAUAUAUUUAUCUGCUUUAUAAUAUGUAUAUUUAUUUUUAAAAAAUUAAUAUAUAAUUAUUAUUAUUAUUAUUACCUCAAAUAUAUUCUAAAAAAUACAAAUUAACUGCCGACCCAUACGAUCAAUCAAGUUGUAACUAGUUAGCUACAUAGCUAGUGACAUAUGGUGGACCUCUCGAUUGUCGCUGUGAUUGCCAUGAUCAGCACAAUUCACGCAUAAUGUUGUGGUGGGACAUAAUAACUGACUUGCUCAAGUCGUCGCGGGUGGCAGCGUUCAACUUUUCAAAGUCUUGUGCAGAAAACAUACGAAAGCAUUUGUUUGCAACAGUUGACUUUGUUUUGUUCUUAGAGCUAACUAACAAAUAGAACCGCGCGGCUUUGAAAAAAUAAUUUAAUAUUAUUCUUUUUUUAUUCUAUUUUUAACGAUUAUUCUAUUUGAUUAAGAGGAAAUACUUAAAAAAAUGAAAAAAUAAAGUAAAGUUAAAACCAAAAAUACUUUUUUAAUUAUUUAAAAUUACAUUAGCUAAAUUAACACCACAUAAAUAAAAGUGCCAUAGAUGCACCUUAUCUAAGCCAAAACUUAAAAAUCUAAGGCUGAUAUAUCAUUGCGAGGCCACUUGGAGAAGGAGCAGAAGAUGCAUCACAGUAGCCUCUCACUAUGUUCCCUUCUUCGACAGUGAAUCCGAGAGAGGUGAGCAUUGCAAGCCAGCAAUUACGGGUGAUAAUAUCAAUAGUGUGGCAACAGUCAGGGCUAAUAUCAGCCUGGACAUUAAGGAAUAAUAUAAUAAUCUCAUUUGAGCAUGAUUUCAGCUCCAUUAACGCGUUCUAGUACUUUGUUAGGCCUCCGCUAGCUUCAAGUCUUGUUGCAAGAUCGUAGUCUGGUUUCAUAUUGUUGUUGAGGCGAUCAUUCUUGCUGGUUGCAUUUGCAAUAUUUGUCAUGAUGAGGCAAGUGAAGGCCAAAAUGAAAAACACAUGUUUUAGAGCCAUUGCUAUUUUCUGUUCUUUUAUGUUGUGUUUAUAUUUAUGUAGGAUAUCAUAUUUUUUGUUGCUAUUUAUAAAUUAAGGUGAGGCAGAUGAGAAGAGUGAUUAAAUUAUUGCUUAAUUUAUAAUCAAGAAGGUUUCAAUUAGAGAAGAUAGUAAGUUUUUUGAUGAAUUGUUACGUAUUGAUUGUGUAAUAACAAUCAAAUUAAUUAUGAGAAGAUGAAAAAUCAAAUUUGAAAGAAAAUUUCCCUAUUUAUUAGAUAAUAAAUAAUAUACAAAGAUGAUAAAUGGUGAUGCCACAUCACCUCUUAUAGUCCAAACUUUAUAUAAAUAUAUAGAUUAUACUAUAAGCUUUCCAAUUCGACUAGAAUUGCUUAGCAAGCCUGUUUUAAAAAGUUCAAUUUAAGUCACCGGCAAAAUAAUUUUGUAACGAUUUCCAAUUUUGUUCUUAUCUUCAUUUUGGGACCGCCUAAGUUACAAUUAAUGUAACUUACAGCCAGCCUGUAAAAAUUCACCAAGCCCCCUACACUCUAUGUUAUUUAUAAUUUACUCGUAAGUAUUAUAAAAUUUUUUGUAUUGUAAUAUUUCGUUUAACCCCUUACACUUAAUUUUAUUUUAUUAAAACCCAAGAGUAGAAUUCGCCCCCUAUAAUUUUAAAUUUCCAAAAUAACCUCCAGUUUUAUAGCAAUUGGUUAUAAUUUAACUCAUUUUGAUUUUGAUUCUAAGGCAAAGUAAACAAUAAAUGGUAAUAAAGCUCAUUUUAAUUACGAUUCCUGCAGUUCAACUGCUGUACCGUACAUCCGCCUUGGCCGUACAGCAGCAAGGUAGGCUUUCAUGAAGAAGCGAAAAAGAGCUUUUCUUGCAAACUCUUGGAUGGCGAAGACAAAUUUAGCCGGAAACAAAAUGAAUUACAAUCAGAAAAGUUAGAAUCAAAAUGACUUUAAUUAUUGUUAUUAUCAUUCAAAAAUUAAUUAUUAAUAAUAAUUAUCGUUAAUUAUUAUUAUUAUUAACAAUUUAACAAAAAAAUAUUAUUAAUUAUUGUUAAUAGAUUAAUUAAUUAUAAUACUUUUUAUUCUUGUUAAUUAUAAUAAUUUAUUUAAAAAAUAUAAUUAUAUUUAUGAUUAUAAUAAAAUAAUAGUUAUUAAUUAAAUGGAAGUUAUUUUAGAAAUUUAAAAUUAUAGGGGAUAAAUUCGUACUUUAGGAUCUCAAUAAAAUAAAAUUGAGUAUAAGAGGCUAAACAAAAUUUUAUAAUUCAGAAAGUUUUAUAAUACUUAUGAAUAAGAUAUAAAUAAUAUAUAAGGGGCGGGAUGAAACUUUACAAACUGGCCGUAACUGUAACUUAGGCGGACCCCUUCAUUGAUUGUACUUUGAAUGGAAAUUCUUUCACACGUUCUGGCCUUUAUUGUUUGUUUUGUCUCCAUCCAUGGAAUUUCCUCCUUGGAAAUGAAUGAUAACCAAUAUCCGGUGGCCCUUCAGAUUUACAAAGACUUGCAUAUGCAAUUGCUACGAAUUAAUUAAUCGUUAUAUCUUUUUUUUUUUUUUCAAUUUUAAUUAAGUGGUUUCAUCACACAGUAUUUAACUCAAUUGAAGAUUCUUCAAUGGCCUAAAAUGAUUAUAUUUGUUUUUAAAACAAUAAUUUGGGUUGUACCCAAUUAUGAUCUAGAUGAUUGUUGUAGAAUCAGACAGAAAAUCUCUCAUCAUGAUUAAUUCUCUCCAAUGAAAAAAAUUUAAAGAAUAUACAAUUUAAAGUAAAACCCAACUAGAUAUCGAGAGACAAAUUAAUUUAAACAAUUAUAUGUAUUCAGCUCGUCACAAAAUUGAUUAAUUAAAACUAUCCUGUAAUGUAUGGAAUAUGGUCACUUUUGGUAUGCAACUCCCUCAGUAGGAUGCAUAACUGUUUAAUAGGUUAUUUUGUUAAUGGAUGAUAAGGUCUGUACCAUAACAGAUCUAUCGAUUAUAUAUAUAUAUUAUUAGUGCUUUUUCAUUGAUAAAAAGCUUAAGAAUAUUAUAACAAAGAAUUAAACUCAGAUACAUUCUGAAUUCAAUUCAAUUACAAAUAAGAUGCAAGAAAAGGAAAAUCUAAGGUAGCACUUAAGGAGGCUAAUAUGAUUUAGCAAUAUCUGAUCAUCAUGUAUCAUCUCCCUUUCGGAUUCAGGAUCUCAGAGAACACAGCUCCAGUAUACUUAUCAGAACUUCCAGUAGAAAGACUUUGAUCAUCAGUAGCAGUAGUAGUUGAUAUGGUAACCGCACUAAUGGUUUUUGAAUCUGAAAGUACAUGGUUUCCAACACUAGAGAACACGGAACCACUACCAUCGGUUUCGUAGUUGUCCAAAAUUUUUUCUUCCUCCUCAUUCUCAUCAAUCUCCUUUGCAAUUGCAAUACUACUUUCCUGCAGCUGCAAUGCGAACUCAAGUCCCCAAACCACAUCGCUCAUCGAGGGCCGUCUGAUUCCUUCGUCAUUCAAGCUGCUCAUCGCUACCUCAGCAAAUUUGUUCAAGCACUCUGGCUUUAUCUUACCCUUCAAGAAUGGAUCAACAAUCUGAUCAAUUGUUCCAUUUUGAUAACAUUGUUGUGCCCAAACAGCUAAACUCACUUGUUUCUUAUCUGCUGUCCGCAGAAUAGGUGGCCGAGCACACAAUACUUCGAACAACACAACACCGAAUGAGUAGACGUCAGAUUUCUCAGUAAGCUGCUGAAGUCGGUAGUACUCAGGAUCUAAGUAUCCGACGCUGCCCUUAACAACUGUACUCACAUGAGUUUUGGACACCGAAGUUGAUCCAAAUUUGGAGAGUCCGAAGUCGGAAACCUUGGCCACCCAUUUCUCGUCCAACAAGAUGUUGGUUGUCUUCACAUCACGAUGAAUGAUAACAGCAUGGUUUGCCCCAGUAUGCAAAUAGUGAAGCCCACGAGCUGCACCAAUGCAGAUUUCAAGCCUUUGAUUCCAUGGAAGAGGGGGACUGUCGCUAUGGUAGAGAUGAUCACGUAGGGUCCCACGAGCCAUGAAAUCGUAUACAAGGAUCAUCUCCCUGUCAUCGUUGCAAAAGCCUAUCAGAGGGACUAAAUGAAGAUGCCGGAGCUGCGAGAGCAUUCCUAUCUCAGUUUGGAAUUCCAGGGCACCCUGUUGCGACUCUGGUUCCAGUCGUUUAAUGGCAACAGGGGUAGUGCUGCCAUUGAUGAAGCCUUUGUAGACAUUACCAAACCCUCCAACUCCAAUUACGAGUUCAUUGUCGAAGUUGUUUGUAGCCGCUUGGAUUUCAGAUAGUGAAAAUUGGGUGCAAAGAUCGGAAGGAAGGAAUGAGCCGCGUGAUGACUUGGUUGCCUUGAUAGUCUUAGAAGAAAUAAAAGUCCCCAAAAGUGAAGUACCUGUACCGGAACCCGAGUCCUUGACUUUUCUUCCUCGCCAGAAAAUUAACAACAAUAGAAGAGAUAGCACACCAAAGCCUGAUAUAACACCAGCAACCAUCCCGGUUACAUUAUUCUUCUUAGUCGGUUCUAUUGUUGGAGACGCAUCCAAAUUAGGUGGGAUCGUCCGAGGCUCAGGAUUAGGUCCAGCGAGAUUUCCAGUGUUGUCCACUUUAAAGAUUUCAAGGCCGUUCAAGAUAGCAUCAGAGUAUUUGGUCCUCCAUCUGGGGGCAGGGUGCAGUUGAAUAGAAAGAUUCUGCUUAAUAUUUUCUUCAUUUGGUUUUGGUCCUAUCGUCACAGCAUAAUCUCUAUAUACGGCAACACCAUUCGCACCAGUCCAGGCUAUCACAUCUGCUUGAACUUCAGCAGUUAAAUUAGCAAUGAAGAUCUGGAACACCCUAUUGCCCUCUUCAGUUACCUCUAUCUGAAACUCACAAAAAUGAAGCCUCAGAAAAUAUGUAAAGCCCGAAUCCACUUCGAACUCCCAAGUGAGAUUAUACUUCUCGUUGAUUUCCCUAUCCUGCCCCAUCGUCCUGGCGGUUUUGUAGACCAGAUCUGGAGCAGAGUAAUUACGUAUCCAAGUGAGAUGAAUACUCUGGUUAACGGGAAGAGCACUUGGUCUGGCAUCUGUCAAGUAGGGGUCGUCCAUUUCCCAAGUUCGGUACAUGCCGCCGGUGUCGUCUGACGGUGAUAUUUGUUUCCCGCCGACGUUUAUCCGGUAUAAAGUCGCCAGAGCAUUUAUGUUUAAGAUACUGUAUGGGUUGUCCUGGCCAACAAACCUGAACCCCCCGCCGGGAUCAUCGGCCGCGGUGUAAUAGAAAUUGAGGGGCAUGGAUACAAUCUCAAUUCCAUUGAUAAAAGCAUAUGAAUCGUUGUAAUCCGGACUUGGAGUGAAGGUUAUGUUCAAAAGCCUCUGAUCGUCUUCGAUGUUAAUGCAGAAUUCUUUGAAAAAGGGACUGCGGUCGUUGCCAUAUGCUGCAAGUGAAGCGCUAAAGUUUCUUAACAGAGUGAAAGAAGCUGCUUUUACAGAGAAGAAAGCUGCAGAGGUAUUGAACCCCGGUUUUGGACUUGGAUAGAAAUGCAGGCGGAUGAACUUUUGACCGGCGGUGACGUUGAAUAUGUAGGUGAAUUGCGAAUGAGAAACACGUGAUUUUGAAUAUGGGACUUGUUUAUUUUCAGUGACGAUUGUUGAUUUGGGAGCGGAUGCGUCUUCAUGUGGGGAGUAUUGAGAGUUGACAUCUCCAACCCAAGUCUGGCCGGGAGGACCCGUGUUGCCCAACCAGCCACAAGCAAGAAAUAUGUUGCUUUCUGCUAGAGGGUAAUUAGAGUCACCGGUGACGACAACAGCUAGAUGAUGGCAGGAGAAGAAGAAAAAGAAGAAGUGGAAGAUUUUUCUGUAUGUCUCCAUUAAUUUUUUGACAAUUAAUUAAUAGGCAGGCUGCGGCUAUAGCUUUGAUUUUUCGGAUAGCUAGACAUUUAAAGGUAGCAAAUUUUGUAGCAAUAUGUCCGUCUCUGUCAGUUGGGACCACAGGCGCCUUGGCGUUUCGGGCAUGACAAUCAAAAUGAUGGAAAAAUUAAGUCUUCGUCAACUUCUUAGUCUUUGCCCUUUGGCAUCAGUCCAAUCUACUAUCACCCGUAAGGCACUUUCCAUGGCUACUAUUAAUAGACUUGUUUUGAAAUACAAACUUAUAUACAAACAUACACUGAAACUUCGUUGUAACCACAGAUCAAUCAAUUGGAUUCCAUAAUUAAAUAUACACUUCACAACAAAUCUAGAUUGGACUUGAAUGUUAAAUUAGUGUUCGGUCACUAAAUUAAAAAAAUCUUGGUCCAUAAUUGGUUAUUUUAGAAAUACAACAUGUUUAGCAGUUUAUCGAAAAGUUGAACUAAUUAUAUUAGUGCUGCAUUUACUAAUUAGUCAUCGGAAUAGACUAGAAUUGAAAUGAGCUUGAAAUUGAAAUGGCCUAGAAUCAGAAUCAGAAAAAAAAAAUUAAAAUAAGUUAUUUUUUUGAAUUGUAGGAAUUGGAAUCGGAAUGGAAAUAAAAUUUAUUUCCAUUGACGUGUUUAUUUUGUCUUGAAAUUGGAAUAAAAAAUACCAUUUUUUAAUUAUUGUUAAUUGAUGAUUAAUAAUAAUAAUAAUAAUAAUAAUAGUAAUAAUAAUAAUAAUAAUAAUAAUAAUAAUAUUAUUAUUAUUAUUAUAAGCUUAAGUUGCAAAAAUAGCCUAUCCAGUUUCUAUUGUUAUUAUUAUUAUUAUAAGCUUAAGUUGCAAAAAUAGCCUAUCCAGUUUCUAUUGUUAUUAUUAUUAUUAUAAGCUUAAGUUGCAAAAAUAGCCUAUCCAGUUUCUAUUGUUAUUAUUAUUAUUAUAAGCUUAAGUUGCAAAAAUAGCCUAUCCAGUUUCUAUUGUUAUUAUUAUUAUUAUAAGCUUAAGUUGCAAAAAUAGCCUAUCCAGUUUCUAUUGUUAUUAUUAUUAUUAUAAGCUUAAGUUGCAAAAAUAGCCUAUCCAGUUUCUAUUGUUUCUAUUCUAUUGUAAGAAAAUAUCUUGGGCAUUACACUUUUCUAUUUUUUUUGGCUUAUUUCAUUGAUAAAUUUAAUUUAAAUGGAGAUAAACUUGAAAAUUCUAACUAACUAUAGAAUAGAUAAGCCUGAUUUACAACUCACAUGUUCUCUCCUCUUAUUCUGCUCUUCAUUAAUUUUUGUAGGUUUUUGUGACUUUAUUUAUAUAUAGUCGAGAAUCCAAAUAGUAUGAUUAAAAUAAAAAAUCGAUUAGAAGACAGGUUGGCUUCCAAUUAGGUCAGAACAGGGAAAAAAAAAAAAACUUACCGAUCACUAUUUUACGGGUGAGUUCAUGAGGAAAAUAAUUAGGAGUUGCUUUCUAUUGACCACCGGGACUUGCACGGCUGCUUGACUUGUACAAUUACUGUUGUUGAAUUUGCACGACCAUCGUUAGCAUGCUAGAAUUAGAUUGGAUUAUAUUUGCUUGUGUCUUAUAUUUUGUAUAGUAUAAGAUUAAAUUGGAUUAUAAAAGUAAUAUGUUAUUGGAUAUUAAAAUCACUUACAUAUUUAUUUAGAAAUAGGGCUACUUACAUUUAAAAAAUUAUUCUGAACACACUAAUUUUAAUAAAAGUAUAUAUUUAAAAAAUAAAUUAAAUGCCUAUAAAUGCCUCUAUAAAGAACAUAUAUUAAUUCAUUCACCUGCUCCCUCCCACCCGCCUUAAUUAAUUAUCAAGGCAACACCAGUCUCUGUCCAACGAGUCACUUAUUCCAAUUAAAGUGGUAUCCUUUUCUUUUGUGAGACUAGAACCAUGUACUUUAAUGUUCACAUUGGUGUUGCCCAUACGCCAAACAUAUCAUCAAGCUUAGCUAAUUAUUACUCGAAAUCAAUAAUUAAAUGAGGAUGGAAACCUUAUCCAUUAAACAUUAAUCUUUGUCCCUUAUUAUUAUUUAAACUCGGGUAACAAUAAUGUAAAGUGCAUAUUUAAUUAUGACCAAUUCAGCUAAGCCUAAGUAAUAUAUGUCAAUAAUGUAGUGUCUAGUGUCAUAGAUUAAACUUGAACCAUCUCAUAACUAGGACAAGGAUCCUCUCUCUCUCUCUCUUUUUCCUUUUUUUAGUCUUAUAUCCUCUCCUAGUUUAAUGAAUAGCUAAGAAUGAGUUUGGAAUUUUAAUGUUGACAAUUAAGUUGAUUUUUUUUUUCAACUUAUUUAUAAUUAUGUCAACUCUUUUCACUAAAUUUAAAAAAACUAGAAAAAGCUAGGAGAAAAAAAAUAUUAAAAGAAGAUCCUAAUCCCACAAGUUAAACUCAAACCAUGCAGUACUUAAUUUUGAUGAGUGAAAAUUUGAGUUUUGAAUUUUGAUGUUGACAAACUUUAAAACCAUGCAACACUAGUGCAAAGCAUGGCGAAUGAUAGCGCUCACUAAGCUUGAAAAGCCCAAUAAAUUGUAUAAAAGAGCAUAUUGAGCACUGGGGAUUGGAGCUUUUGGUGACUUGACUCAAAUGAAGCCAGUUCUUUGUAAAUGGAGAAAUUACAUAUGUACAAGUUAUAAUAAGACUCAAUUAUAUCAAAGCAGAUUAGAUAGGAUAAGUUUGGAAUAUUUAUAAUUACAAUUGACCUAUACCUAGUAAGAGUGUAGAUCAUAAUUAUGAAACUCUACGACAAAUGUACAUAUCUAUUGAAAUAUGGAUCUUGAUGGAUUAAGCAUGCAUCUCCUACUCCUCUCCUAUAAAGAGGUUUUAAUACAUUUACAACUGGAGGCAACAUGCCCACUGCUAGAGUUAUCACAUCGGUAUCGUUAGAUUAGCAAUUUUGUUUAUGAUUUUAUCUAAUAGUAAUUUGUCGUUUUGUUUUUGGUUUCAAAUGGGCUCUUAAACAGUGCUAAAUAGUAACUAGGUGGGGGUAUGAAACGCCAUACAUAUCAUGCAUGAGAAAAGGAAAAACACCAACUGAAGGAUAGUUGAGAAUGUGAAGACCCAAGGGGAGAGAUAGGGCAUAGCUUGCAAUGAAAUCUAUCAUAAAAUUUGCUUUGCGAUAAACAUGGAUAACGGUGAUAUGCUAGUCACGUCGCAGGAGAUCCUUUAUAAAUCGAACUAACGGGAUGUAUUCAUUAGUAGAACACAAACGAUUACCAACCAGUUGAGUCACACAUAAGCUAUCCAAUUCCACAUUCAACCAGCAAAUACCUUUUUGCCAAAAUUAUUAUUAUUAUUAUUAUUAUUAUUAUUAUUAUUAUUAUUAUUAUUAUUAUUAUUAUUAUUAUUAUUAUUAUUAUUAUUAUUAUUAUUAUUAUUAUUAUUAUUAUUAUUAUUAUUAUUAUUAUUAUUAUUAUUAUUAUUAUUAUUAUUAUUAUUAUUAUUAUUAUUAUUAUUAUUAUUAUUAUUAUUAUUAUUAUUAUUAUUAUUAUUAUUAUUAUUAUUAUUAUUAUUAUUAUUAUUAUUAUUAUUAUUAUUAUUAUUAUUAUUAUUAUUAUUAUUAUUAUUAUUAUUAUUAUUAUUAUUAUUAUUAUUAUUAUUAUUAUUAUUAUUAUUAUUAUUAUUAUUAUUAUUAUUAUUAUUAUUAUUAUUAUUAUUAUUAUUAUUAUUAUUAUUAUUAUUAUUAUUAUUAUUAUUAUUAUUAUUAUUAUUAUUAUUAUUAUUAUUAUUAUUAUUAUUAUUAUUAUUAUUAUUAUUAUUAUUAUUAUUAUUAUUAUUAUUAUUAUUAUUAUUAUUAUUAUUAUUAUUAUUAUUAUUAUUAUUAUUAUUAUUAUUAUUAUUAUUAUUAUUAUUAUUAUUAUUAUUAUUAUUAUUAUUAUUAUUAUUAUUAUUAUUAUUAUUAUUAUUAUUAUUAUUAUUAUUAUUAUUAUUAUUAUUAUUAUUAUUAUUAUUAUUAUUAUUAUUAUUAUUAUUAUUAUUAUUAUUAUUAUUAUUAUUAUUAUUAUUAUUAUUAUUAUUAUUAUUAUUAUUAUUAUUAUUAUUAUUAUUAUUAUUAUUAUUAUUAUUAUUAUUAUUAUUAUUAUUAUUAUUAUUAUUAUUAUUAUUAUUAUUAUUAUUAUUAUUAUUAUUAUUAUUAUUAUUAUUAUUAUUAUUAUUAUUAUUAUUAUUAUUAUUAUUAUUAUUAUUAUUAUUAUUAUUAUUAUUAUUAUUAUUAUUAUUAUUAUUAUUAUUAUUAUUAUUAUUAUUAUUAUUAUUAUUAUUAUUAUUAUUAUUAUUAUUAUUAUUAUUAUUAUUAUUAUUAUUAUUAUUAUUAUUAUUAUUAUUAUUAUUAUUAUUAUUAUUAUUAUUAUUAUUAUUAUUAUUAUUAUUAUUAUUAUUAUUAUUAUUAUUAUUAUUAUUAUUAUUAUUAUUAUUAUUAUUAUUAUUAUUAUUAUUAUUAUUAUUAUUAUUAUUAUUAUUAUUAUUAUUAUUAUUAUUAUUAUUAUUAUUAUUAUUAUUAUUAUUAUUAUUAUUAUUAUUAUUAUUAUUAUUAUUAUUAUUAUUAUUAUUAUUAUUAUUAUUAUUAUUAUUAUUAUUAUUAUUAUUAUUAUUAUUAUUAUUAUUAUUAUUAUUAUUAUUAUUAUUAUUAUUAUUAUUAUUAUUAUUAUUAUUAUUAUUAUUAUUAUUAUUAUUAUUAUUAUUAUUAUUAUUAUUAUUAUUAUUAUUAUUAUUAUUAUUAUUAUUAUUAUUAUUAUUAUUAUUAUUAUUAUUAUUAUUAUUAUUAUUAUUAUUAUUAUUAUUAUUAUUAUUAUUAUUAUUAUUAUUAUUAUUAUUAUUAUUAUUAUUAUUAUUAUUAUUAUUAUUAUUAUUAUUAUUAUUAUUAUUAUUAUUAUUAUUAUUAUUAUUAUUAUUAUUAUUAUUAUUAUUAUUAUUAUUAUUAUUAUUAUUAUUAUUAUUAUUAUUAUUAUUAUUAUUAUUAUUAUUAUUAUUAUUAUUAUUAUUAUUAUUAUUAUUAUUAUUAUUAUUAUUAUUAUUAUUAUUAUUAUUAUUAUUAUUAUUAUUAUUAUUAUUAUUAUUAUUAUUAUUAUUAUUAUUAUUAUUAUUAUUAUUAUUAUUAUUAUUAUUAUUAUUAUUAUUAUUAUUAUUAUUAUUAUUAUUAUUAUUAUUAUUAUUAUUAUUAUUAUUAUUAUUAUUAUUAUUAUUAUUAUUAUUAUUAUUAUUAUUAUUAUUAUUAUUAUUAUUAUUAUUAUUAUUAUUAUUAUUAUUAUUAUUAUUAUUAUUAUUAUUAUUAUUAUUAUUAUUAUUAUUAUUAUUAUUAUUAUUAUUAUUAUUAUUAUUAUUAUUAUUAUUAUUAUUAUUAUUAUUAUUAUUAUUAUUAUUAUUAUUAUUAUUAUUAUUAUUAUUAUUAUUAUUAUUAUUAUUAUUAUUAUUAUUAUUAUUAUUAUUAUUAUUAUUAUUAUUAUUAUUAUUAUUAUUAUUAUUAUUAUUAUUAUUAUUAUUAUUAUUAUUAUUAUUAUUAUUAUUAUUAUUAUUAUUAUUAUUAUUAUUAUUAUUAUUAUUAUUAUUAUUAUUAUUAUUAUUAUUAUUAUUAUUAUUAUUAUUAUUAUUAUUAUUAUUAUUAUUAUUAUUAUUAUUAUUAUUAUUAUUAUUAUUAUUAUUAUUAUUAUUAUUAUUAUUAUUAUUAUUAUUAUUAUUAUUAUUAUUAUUAUUAUUAUUAUUAUUAUUAUUAUUAUUAUUAUUAUUAUUAUUAUUAUUAUUAUUAUUAUUAUUAUUAUUAUUAUUAUUAUUAUUAUUAUUAUUAUUAUUAUUAUUAUUAUUAUUAUUAUUAUUAUUAUUAUUAUUAUUAUUAUUAUUAUUAUUAUUAUUAUUAUUAUUAUUAUUAUUAUUAUUAUUAUUAUUAUUAUUAUUAUUAUUAUUAUUAUUAUUAUUAUUAUUAUUAUUAUUAUUAUUAUUAUUAUUAUUAUUAUUAUUAUUAUUAUUAUUAUUAUUAUUAUUAUUAUUAUUAUUAUUAUUAUUAUUAUUAUUAUUAUUAUUAUUAUUAUUAUUAUUAUUAUUAUUAUUAUUAUUAUUAUUAUUAUUAUUAUUAUUAUUAUUAUUAUUAUUAUUAUUAUUAUUAUUAUUAUUAUUAUUAUUAUUAUUAUUAUUAUUAUUAUUAUUAUUAUUAUUAUUAUUAUUAUUAUUAUUAUUAUUAUUAUUAUUAUUAUUAUUAUUAUUAUUAUUAUUAUUAUUAUUAUUAUUAUUAUUAUUAUUAUUAUUAUUAUUAUUAUUAUUAUUAUUAUUAUUAUUAUUAUUAUUAUUAUUAUUAUUAUUAUUAUUAUUAUUAUUAUUAUUAUUAUUAUUAUUAUUAUUAUUAUUAUUAUUAUUAUUAUUAUUAUUAUUAUUAUUAUUAUUAUUAUUAUUAUUAUUAUUAUUAUUAUUAUUAUUAUUAUUAUUAUUAUUAUUAUUAUUAUUAUUAUUAUUAUUAUUAUUAUUAUUAUUAUUAUUAUUAUUAUUAUUAUUAUUAUUAUUAUUAUUAUUAUUAUUAUUAUUAUUAUUAUUAUUAUUAUUAUUAUUAUUAUUAUUAUUAUUAUUAUUAUUAUUAUUAUUAUUAUUAUUAUUAUUAUUAUUAUUAUUAUUAUUAUUAUUAUUAUUAUUAUUAUUAUUAUUAUUAUUAUUAUUAUUAUUAUUAUUAUUAUUAUUAUUAUUAUUAUUAUUAUUAUUAUUAUUAUUAUUAUUAUUAUUAUUAUUAUUAUUAUUAUUAUUAUUAUUAUUAUUAUUAUUAUUAUUAUUAUUAUUAUUAUUAUUAUUAUUAUUAUUAUUAUUAUUAUUAUUAUUAUUAUUAUUAUUAUUAUUAUUAUUAUUAUUAUUAUUAUUAUUAUUAUUAUUAUUAUUAUUAUUAUUAUUAUUAUUAUUAUUAUUAUUAUUAUUAUUAUUAUUAUUAUUAUUAUUAUUAUUAUUAUUAUUAUUAUUAUUAUUAUUAUUAUUAUUAUUAUUAUUAUUAUUAUUAUUAUUAUUAUUAUUAUUAUUAUUAUUAUUAUUAUUAUUAUUAUUAUUAUUAUUAUUAUUAUUAUUAUUAUUAUUAUUAUUAUUAUUAUUAUUAUUAUUAUUAUUAUUAUUAUUAUUAUUAUUAUUAUUAUUAUUAUUAUUAUUAUUAUUAUUAUUAUUAUUAUUAUUAUUAUUAUUAUUAUUAUUAUUAUUAUUAUUAUUAUUAUUAUUAUUAUUAUUAUUAUUAUUAUUAUUAUUAUUAUUAUUAUUAUUAUUAUUAUUAUUAUUAUUAUUAUUAUUAUUAUUAUUAUUAUUAUUAUUAUUAUUAUUAUUAUUAUUAUUAUUAUUAUUAUUAUUAUUAUUAUUAUUAUUAUUAUUAUUAUUAUUAUUAUUAUUAUUAUUAUUAUUAUUAUUAUUAUUAUUAUUAUUAUUAUUAUUAUUAUUAUUAUUAUUAUUAUUAUUAUUAUUAUUAUUAUUAUUAUUAUUAUUAUUAUUAUUAUUAUUAUUAUUAUUAUUAUUAUUAUUAUUAUUAUUAUUAUUAUUAUUAUUAUUAUUAUUAUUAUUAUUAUUAUUAUUAUUAUUAUUAUUAUUAUUAUUAUUAUUAUUAUUAUUAUUAUUAUUAUUAUUAUUAUUAUUAUUAUUAUUAUUAUUAUUAUUAUUAUUAUUAUUAUUAUUAUUAUUAUUAUUAUUAUUAUUAUUAUUAUUAUUAUUAUUAUUAUUAUUAUUAUUAUUAUUAUUAUUAUUAUUAUUAUUAUUAUUAUUAUUAUUAUUAUUAUUAUUAUUAUUAUUAUUAUUAUUAUUAUUAUUAUUAUUAUUAUUAUUAUUAUUAUUAUUAUUAUUAUUAUUAUUAUUAUUAUUAUUAUUAUUAUUAUUAUUAUUAUUAUUAUUAUUAUUAUUAUUAUUAUUAUUAUUAUUAUUAUUAUUAUUAUUAUUAUUAUUAUUAUUAUUAUUAUUAUUAUUAUUAUUAUUAUUAUUAUUAUUAUUAUUAUUAUUAUUAUUAUUAUUAUUAUUAUUAUUAUUAUUAUUAUUAUUAUUAUUAUUAUUAUUAUUAUUAUUAUUAUUAUUAUUAUUAUUAUUAUUAUUAUUAUUAUUAUUAUUAUUAUUAUUAUUAUUAUUAUUAUUAUUAUUAUUAUUAUUAUUAUUAUUAUUAUUAUUAUUAUUAUUAUUAUUAUUAUUAUUAUUAUUAUUAUUAUUAUUAUUAUUAUUAUUAUUAUUAUUAUUAUUAUUAUUAUUAUUAUUAUUAUUAUUAUUAUUAUUAUUAUUAUUAUUAUUAUUAUUAUUAUUAUUAUUAUUAUUAUUAUUAUUAUUAUUAUUAUUAUUAUUAUUAUUAUUAUUAUUAUUAUUAUUAUUAUUAUUAUUAUUAUUAUUAUUAUUAUUAUUAUUAUUAUUAUUAUUAUUAUUAUUAUUAUUAUUAUUAUUAUUAUUAUUAUUAUUAUUAUUAUUAUUAUUAUUAUUAUUAUUAUUAUUAUUAUUAUUAUUAUUAUUAUUAUUAUUAUUAUUAUUAUUAUUAUUAUUAUUAUUAUUAUUAUUAUUAUUAUUAUUAUUAUUAUUAUUAUUAUUAUUAUUAUUAUUAUUAUUAUUAUUAUUAUUAUUAUUAUUAUUAUUAUUAUUAUUAUUAUUAUUAUUAUUAUUAUUAUUAUUAUUAUUAUUAUUAUUAUUAUUAUUAUUAUUAUUAUUAUUAUUAUUAUUAUUAUUAUUAUUAUUAUUAUUAUUAUUAUUAUUAUUAUUAUUAUUAUUAUUAUUAUUAUUAUUAUUAUUAUUAUUAUUAUUAUUAUUAUUAUUAUUAUUAUUAUUAUUAUUAUUAUUAUUAUUAUUAUUAUUAUUAUUAUUAUUAUUAUUAUUAUUAUUAUUAUUAUUAUUAUUAUUAUUAUUAUUAUUAUUAUUAUUAUUAUUAUUAUUAUUAUUAUUAUUAUUAUUAUUAUUAUUAUUAUUAUUAUUAUUAUUAUUAUUAUUAUUAUUAUUAUUAUUAUUAUUAUUAUUAUUAUUAUUAUUAUUAUUAUUAUUAUUAUUAUUAUUAUUAUUAUUAUUAUUAUUAUUAUUAUUAUUAUUAUUAUUAUUAUUAUUAUUAUUAUUAUUAUUAUUAUUAUUAUUAUUAUUAUUAUUAUUAUUAUUAUUAUUAUUAUUAUUAUUAUUAUUAUUAUUAUUAUUAUUAUUAUUAUUAUUAUUAUUAUUAUUAUUAUUAUUAUUAUUAUUAUUAUUAUUAUUAUUAUUAUUAUUAUUAUUAUUAUUAUUAUUAUUAUUAUUAUUAUUAUUAUUAUUAUUAUUAUUAUUAUUAUUAUUAUUAUUAUUAUUAUUAUUAUUAUUAUUAUUAUUAUUAUUAUUAUUAUUAUUAUUAUUAUUAUUAUUAUUAUUAUUAUUAUUAUUAUUAUUAUUAUUAUUAUUAUUAUUAUUAUUAUUAUUAUUAUUAUUAUUAUUAUUAUUAUUAUUAUUAUUAUUAUUAUUAUUAUUAUUAUUAUUAUUAUUAUUAUUAUUAUUAUUAUUAUUAUUAUUAUUAUUAUUAUUAUUAUUAUUAUUAUUAUUAUUAUUAUUAUUAUUAUUAUUAUUAUUAUUAUUAUUAUUAUUAUUAUUAUUAUUAUUAUUAUUAUUAUCAUUAUUAUUAUUAUCAUUAUUAUUAUAAGCUUUAAGUUGUAAAAAUAGCCUAUCCAGUUUCUAUUGUUUCCAUUCUAUUGUAAGAAAAUAUCUUGGGCAUUACACUUUUCUAUUUUUUUUGGCUUAUUUCAUUGAUAAAUUUAAUUUAAAUGGAGAUAAACUUGAAAAUUCUAAUUAACUAUAGAAUAGAUAGGCCUGAUUUGCAACUCACAUGUUCUCUCCUCUUACUCCGCUCUUCAUUAAUUUUUGUAUGUUUUUGUGACUUUAUUUAUAUAUAGUCGAGAAUCCAAAUAGUAUGAUUAAAAUAAAAAAUCGAUUAGAAGACAGGUUGGCUUCCAAUUAGGUCAGAACAGGGAAAAAAAAACUUACCGAUCACUAUUUUACGGGUGAGUUCAUGAGGAAAAUAAUUAGGAGUUGCUUUCUAUUGACCACCGGGACUUGCACGGCUGCUUGACUUGUACAAUUACUGUUGUUGAAUUUGCACGACCAUCGUUAGCAUGCUAGAAUUAGAUUGGAUUAUAUUUGCUUGUGUCUUAUAUUUUGUAUAGUAUAAGAUUAAAUUGGAUUAUAAAAGUAAUAUGUUAUUGGAUAUUAAAAUCACUUACAUAUUUAUUUAGAAAUAAGACUACUUACAUUUAAAAAAUUAUUCUGAACACACUAAUUUUAAUAAAAGUAUAUAUUUAAAAAAUAAAUUAAAUGCCUAUAAAUGCCUCUAUAAAGAACAUAUAUUAAUUCAUUCACCUGCUCCCUCCCACCCGCCUUAAUUAAUUAUCAAGGCAACACCAGUCUCUGUCCAACGAGUCACUUAUUCCAAUUAAAGUGGUAUCCUUUUCUUUUGUGAGACUAGAACCAUGUACUUUAAUGUUCACAUUGGUGUUGCCCAUACGCCAAACAUAUCAUCAAGCUUAGCUAAUUAUUACUCGAAAUCAAUAAUUAAAUGAGGAUGGAAACCUUAUCCAUUAAACAUUAAUCUUUGUCCCUUAUUAUUAUUUAAACUCGGGUAACAAUAAUGUAAAGUGCAUAUUUAAUUAUGACCAAUUCAGCUAAGCCUAAGUAAUAUAUGUCAAUAAUGUAGUGUCUAGUGUCAUAGAUUAAACUUGAACCAUCUCAUAACUAGGACAAGGAUCCUCUCUCUCUCUCUCUUUUUCCUUUUUUUAGUCUUAUAUCCUCUCCUAGUUUAAUGAAUAGCUAAGAAUGAGUUUGGAAUUUUAAUGUUGACAAUUAAGUUGAUUUUUUUUUUCAACUUAUUUAUAAUUAUGUCAACUCUUUUCACUAAAUUUAAAAAAACUAGAAAAAGCUAGGAGAAAAAAAAUAUUAAAAGAAGAUCCUAAUCCCACAAGUUAAACUCAAACCAUGCAGUACUUAAUUUUGAUGAGUGAAAAUUUGAGUUUUGAAUUUUGAUGUUGACAAACUUUAAAACCAUGCAACACUAGUGCAAAGCAUGGCGAAUGAUAGCGCUCACUAAGCUUGAAAAGCCCAAUAAAUUGUAUAAAAGAGCAUAUUGAGCACUGGGGAUUGGAGCUUUUGGUGACUUGGCUCAAAUGAAGCCAGUUCUUUGUAAAUGGAGAAAUUACAUAUGUACAAGUUAUAAUAAGACUCAAUUAUAUCAAAGCAUAUUAGAUAGGAUAAGUUUGGAAUAUUUAUAAUUACAAUUGACCUAUACCUAGUAAGAGUGUAGAUCAUAAUUAUGAAACUCUACGACAAAUGUACAUAUCUAUUGAAAUAUGGAUCUUGAUGGAUUAAGCAUGCAUCUCCUACUCCUCUCCUAUAAAGAGGUUUUAAUACAUUUACAACUGGAGGCAACAUGCCCACUGCUAGAGUUAUCACAUCGGUAUCGUUAGAUUAGCAAUUUUGUUUAUGAUUUUAUCUAAUAGUAAUUUGUCGUUUUGUUUUUGGUUUCAAAUGGGCUCUUAAACAGUGCUAAAUAGUAACUAGGUGGGGGUAUGAAACCUCAUACAUAUCAUGCGUGAGAAAAGGAAAAACACCAACUGAAGGAUAGUUGAGAAUGUGAAGACCCAAGGGGAGAGAUAGGGCAUAGCUUGCAAUGAAAUCUAUCAUAAAAUUUGCUUUGCGAUAAACAUGGAUAACGGUGAUAUGCUAGUCACGUCGCAGGAGAUCCUUUAUAAAUCGAACUAACGGGAUGUAUUCAUUAGUAGAACACAAACGAUUACCAACCAGUUGAGUCACACAUAAGCUAUCCAAUUCCACAUUCAACCAGCAAAUACCUUUUUGCCAAACGACAAACAAAUCUUGAAACAACCCCAAGAGUUCCGCAACAAUAACAAAACAAGAACAAAUAUUUAUGCAAAAGCCAACCAAUCAAUUCCCAUUAUGAUCACAGAUAAGUCCACCGUGUUAGAUUCCCCAAUUCUCUUAGCUUCACCAUUUGUAUUAAGCUCGCACCAAGGCUAGAUGGGGGAAUUCACGCGAUCUACUUCUCGGACCUUCUGAAUUCUGAUUCUCGUACACAUGGGGGAGUUAUUUACUUUAUAAAUUUCCGCUACUCUCACACUGAUACCGUUCAUCAUGUAAUCACUAUCCACAAAGAGGUCAUUAAAAAAAAAAAAAAAUUGGUUCCGCUAGUACCAAAGCCUCCAGAAUGCAAAUCAAAGAAACAUCUCCAGCUAACAUCUUUCUUGAAAAUCCAAUUAUUCUUUAAAUUCUUACACAUCUAAUCACGAAGGUCUAAAGAAUAAAAAGCUUGUCAAUUACACAUAGGCAUGACAUGUGAUUAACACUUGAAAGUGUACAUGUAAUAAGGUAAAAUUAUUAGUUUUUCACUUAAAGUGUUGAUUAAUGUACUCAUUAUUAUUAAAUUAUCUUAACACUCCCUAAAUAUAUUUUUAUGUUAAAUUAAUUCGCAAUAUGUUGAUUUUUAUCUUGUAAAUAUUUUUCAAGAAUAAAGAUGGAAUUGGAAUUGAAAGUGAGAAUAAAAAAGAACUGCUUGAGGAUAAUUGAGGAGAUGUAAUUAAUAAAAUAAAAAAAUAAAAAAUAAAAAGGGUGAGCAACCAUACUCGUGAUGGUCAAGUGGCCAUCUUACCACCUGACCAUCACACCUCUCAAUGUAUAUAUAUAUAUUAUAAAAAUAAAAUAAAAUAAAAUAUAAUAAUAAUAAAACAAUAAAAAAAAAGGAUGGAGCCCUUGCCUUUUGAUGCAAGCAGGAGCUGAAGCCGAUAGAGAGAGCCGAGAGUGAAGCUGAGGAAAUCUUUAUUUCUUUUCUUGUUUUCUGGUGUAAUCAAUUUCCUUGUAAUAUAUUUCAAAAGUUUGUCAAAUAAAAAAAGUGUUUUGUUUUCUUUCAAUAUGAGUGACUAAUUUUAUUAAACUGAGGUGAAGGGUGAAACUCAAGAUUUUAAAUUAUUGAGUUAAUUAUUCUCCCAAGUGAGUCUUAAAGUUUAUUUUCUUUAUUUAUAUUUUUCUUCCUUACUGGUUUCUUUUAUGUCAUUUUAAUUUAUAAAUUCAAAUCUCUGUAGAUUUAUAUGGUAUUUUGAUAUAAUGUUGACACUUGAUCAAUAUAGUGGCGACACAUUAGGUACUUAGUCCCAUAUUUAUCACACUAAUGAUUAGUUAAAAAUUAAAUGGCAUAAUAAUUAACUGGUAAAAGAAAUGCAAAAUAUAAAAUUUGAGAGAGUGUUAUAACCAUAAUUUGAAAUCUGAAAGUGGAUCCCAUAACCUUAGCAUAUUUUUAGAUUGACUCAAAUUAAUUUCUUUUCCUACAUUAAAUUUUAUUAGUUUAAUAAAUUGAUUGCUAGAUUUUAAAUUCCUUAUUGUUCGAUCCCGGACUCAUCGAGUUAUAUUAACUAGAUACUCUUAUAUUUGAGAGUAAUAACACUUUUGAGUCGUGUCAACAUGAUUCCAAAACCUACAAAGUAUUCUCCAGAAUGGCUCCACAACAAUCACAUCCACUCCUUGCUGGAAUCUGCCUUCUUAGCAACUCAACAUUAAGGCAUAAUUUAGAGAAAACUACAGAUACAAUGUGGGCCUUGCCAAUUUCGAAGCCAAACUACAAAUCCGAUCUUCCUUAUUAUGGCCAUGACUAGAAAUGGCAUGGUAGGCUAAUUGAACAAUGAAACUACCCUUCUUGGACUCUGCCCAUAAAACUUAAUCUUUCACCCAUAUGAUUCAUUGGCAAUUGAAAGGAAGUAACUUUUAGAAUAAUUUUAUUAGGCAAUAAAUGCUCGAAAGUAGCCUACUUCUUGCUAUCAGACUCAUCUACAAAAUCUAUAACAACAUUAUACAAGAUAUUUGCACGAAGAUCACUAGUAGGAUAAAACAACAAAGGCUUGUCUCUUGUUACCCAAUAGUCCUGCCAAAACUUGACCAUUUUUCUAUCCCCUAUACUCUAUCGAGUACUCAUAAAAGUAUCAUUCCAAAUGCUCCCAAUUGAUCACCAUUAGUGAGAACCAAAUCUCGUAGGCAAUAUAUGAGGCAAAUUAGACGAACCCAAACGAUACUUCGUGAUUAGAUCCUGAGACCACGGGCUAGCUAGAGAAGUAAUCAUAUUGUGCGCGGAAUGCGGAAUCAAGCGCACUAAAUAAUUAUAGAAAAAUAAAGGACACAAGAAUUACGUGAUUCAGUAAUUAAACCUACAUCCACAGAGGCAAGAAAGAAUAAGUGUUUAUUUAACAAUUAAUAGAGUACAAUAUUUGAGUAACGAAUCUCACUUCCUAGAAACCUAAAUAUAUCCAGUACUCUCACACUCUGCAGGAAAGAUAAAUUCCCUAGACACACUUCUCUCACUUCUCUCAAAAGCUUAGAAACUUAUAAGCUUAACAAUUUUGGGAUGCUAAAGAAUGGGAUUGUCGCUAUGGUAGAGAUGAUCAGGUAGAGUCCCACGAGCCAUGAAAUCGUAUACAAGGAUCAUCUCCCUGUCAUCGUUGCAAAAGCCUAUGAGAGAGACUAAAUGAAGAUGCCGGAGCUGCGAGAGCAUUCCUAUCUCAGUUUGGAAUUCCAGGGCACCCUGUUGCGACUCUGGUUCCAGUCGUUUAAUGGCAACAGGGGUAGUGCUGCCAUUGAUGAAGCCUUUGUAGACAUCUCCAAACCCUCCAACUCCAAUUACGAGAUCAUUGUCGAAGUUGUUUGUAGCCGCUUGGAUUUCAGAUAGUGAAAAUUGGGUGCAAAGAUCGGAAGGAAGGAAUGAGCCGCGUGAUGACUUGGUUGCCUUGAUAGUCUUAGAAGAAAUAAAAGUCCCCAAAAGUGAAGUACCUGUACCGGAACUCGAAUCCUUGACUUUUCUUCCUCGCCAGAAAAUUAACAACAAUAGAAGAGAUAGCACACUAGAGCCUGAUAUAGCACCAGCAACCAUCCCGGUUACAUUAUUCUUCUUAGUCGGUUCUAUUGUUGGAGACGCAUCCAAAUUAGGUGGAAUCGUCCGAGGCUCAGGAUUAGGUCCGCCGAGAUUUCCAGUGUUGUCCACUUUAAAGAUUUCAAGGCCGUUCAAGAUAGCAUCAGAGUAUUUGGUCCUCCAUCUGGGGGCAGGGUGCAGUUGAAUAGAAAGAUUCUGUUUAAUAUUUUCUUCAUUUGGUUUUGAUCCUAUCAUCACAGCAUAAUCUCUAUAUACGGUAACACCAUUCGCACCAGUCCAGGCUAUCACAUCUGCUUGAACUUCAGCAGUUAAAUUAGCAAUGAAGAUCUGGAACACCCUAUUGCCCUCUUCAGUUACCUCUAUCUGAAACUCACAAAAAUGAAGCCUCAGAAAAUAUGUAAAGCCCGAAUCCACUUCGAACUCCCAAGUGAGAUUAUACUUCUCGUUGAUUUCCCUAUCCUGCCCCAUCGUCCUGGCGGUUUUGUAGACCAGAUCUGGAGCAGAGUAAUUACGUAUCCAAGUGAGAUGAAUACUCUGGUUAACGGGAAGAGCACUUGGUCUGGCAUCUGUCAAGUAGGGGUCGUCCAUUUCCCAAGUUCGGUACAUGCCGCCGGUGUCGUCUGACGGUGAUAUUUGUUUCCCGCCGACGUUUAUCCGGUAUAAAGUCGCCAGAGCAUUUAUGUUUAAGAUACUGUAUGGGUUGUCCUGGCCAACAAACCUGAACCCCCCGCCGGGAUCAUCGGCCGCGGUGUAAUAGAAAUUGAGGGGCAUGGAUACAAUCUCAAUUCCAUUGAUAAAAGCAUAUGAAUCGUUGUAAUCCGGACUUGGAGUGAAGGUUAUGUUCAAAAGCCUCUGAUCGUCUUCGAUGUUAAUGCAGAAUUCUUUGAAAAAGGGACUGCGGUCGUUGCCAUAUGCUGCAAGUGAAGCGCUAAAGUUUCUUAACAGAGUGAAAGAAGCUGCUUUUACAGAGAAGAAAGCUGCAGAGGUAUUGAACCCCGGUUUUGGACUUGGAUAGAAAUGCAG